rnacentral:lncRNA from 7 species
GAGCUGCUGGUGUGAUGUAGAAAAGCAGGUACAGGGACCUUUUUGUGAGGGUGAGUUAUUCCACGUUUGGUAGUAUAUAGACCAUGUCUGUGAGACAUGGGAAGCAGCAUGGAGGGCCGUUGGACUGUCCAGCACUGCAGCUGGGUGCUGCUGUGCCCAGAGAUCAUGGGGACCUUUUACCACGUGUUGGCAUUGUCUCCUUCCUGGGACAGAUCCUGAAGUCUCAUCCUUCUCCCACACAUCUUUUUCAGAGGAGAUCCAGGCACAAGGAAGAGCAGGGGAGGAUGCAGAGAAAGAAGUUCUGGAGAAGGAGAACGGUGAGUGUGACUGUCCCUUGGCAAGGCAUUCCUUCCACCGAUGUUUGCAGGUUUAUUUGUCAUGGUGUUGUGCUGGUGGUGGAGAUGUGUGUGUUGGCGUGUUUGGAAGGAUGAGAGUGCAGGAGGGGCUGUGGAGGGAAGACAGAGCUGGGGAGCAUGGAGAUGGAGAGCCUGGGCCCUGAGCAGCCCUUUACGCUGCUGAGGAAGUGGAGUAUUGUUGGUGGCAGCAAUCCAAGCCAGGUGGUGGGGGACGUGGUGGUGGUGUGUCAGGGUGUGAAGCAAAGUCCACCCAGAGAAACCUUUUGCUAGAGGCAGAGGUGGGAAGUCCCCGUGGGCUGUGGCCUGGGACCCGUGUUUCUUGGGCCUGACUUGUUGUCUUCUUUUGUGGUGGCUGUGGUGACUGUGCAGAGGAGCUCCGUGCCAAGUAUGGUGAGUUGCUGUGCUUGCCCACAAGCAUUCCCGAUGGGGGUAAGGCCUUGGGGAUGGUGAGGGGGGCUAUUCCAGCCAUGACAGGUGUUCCAAGUCAGCCUUUUGAGUAUGCCUGCAUGUUA